rnacentral:tRNA from 1 species
GAGUUGGUGGUUCAGCGGUAGAAUUCUUGCCUUCCAUGCAGGAGACUCAGGUUUCAUUCCCAACCAGUGCG